rnacentral:piRNA from 1 species
UACCCACCAGGAGAUAUAAAGGUCUAAG